UCCCUCAGGCUCUGGUCCCAGAUAAGGAAAAAAAAGAAAAAGGAAAAGGAAAACAAACUGCCAACCCCAGAUGGGCUCCACAUACAGUCCUGUUCCUUCAGGGAGGCUUCUCCCACCCCUUUUGGCAAGAGCCUUCAGGAGACUGUCCAGUUUGACCAAUGUACAUGGCAGAGGGGCAUUGCUGGCAUAUGAUGGCAUAUAUCACGUUGGUGGAUGUGCAGCUAAUCUACCCAAUUGCCUCAUCAUUAGUAAGGAUCCUAGCACAUGGUGGGCACUGUACUAAUAGAAGAUAAAUAAUGAUGAUCACUGAUAAUUAUUUAGGGUGACUAUGUGAACCAGAGGCUUGCUGCAGAAUUUGUUCACUGAAAAGAGUGCCAAGUCCCUCUGCUGGAAUCCAGUAAGAGAAAUGUCAUCUACAAUAUUACUUACACUUAUUUGCUAGAUGUCGACACCAUAGAUUUUGGGCAGUCUAUUCUUCAUCUUCCUUUCAUUCUCCUGUUUUGUGAGCAGUUGCCUUCUCAACUCUCAUCCAUACGAGGUUGCUGCUGUAAGGCUGAAUGUAAAUCUCUAAAUUUUAGGCUCACAUGGGACAAGGAAUGCGUAUUUGGCUUUAACUAAAGCUGAUAUGGAGAUAUGACCGUCAUUGGGGAAUGUGUUGAGGAUCUAUUCUAUAAAACAGUUUGUGCUGCAGUUUUUGGAUCUGUUUAAGAUGAGGGCAUCAAUUUUCUCUUUUGUAAUUCAGAAAGGCCAAGUGUCAUGAACAUGAUAUUGAUAAGGUACAGUAAUGUGCAAUGGUUUCUCUUUGGGUUUUGCAGACAGUUGCUUUCCCCUUUGUUUUAUCAGGAUACCCUGAGCAUUUACUCUAGUAGCUUUAGAUUUGGGCAACAGCAGCUUAGGUGUCAACUCUGUGGAAUCUGUACAGCAUGCCAUACACUGCAUUCUUUAAAGGCACUAGGAAAAAGGAUGCCACAAAAGGUGCACGGUCACCUGUGAAAAGGUUACUGAGAGUGAUUGCAUUUGAUAGUAUGGCGAGGAAAUAAAUGGCAUGCUCAAAAAUUCCUCUCUCAGGCCAUUUGGAAUCAUGAUCGUUCAGGUGUCAGAGCACUUUCAGCUGCUGUUACAUCAGAGUUAAAGCUGUAUUCCCAUACACAUAGAAUAAGAAAUAACUCAGAUAUCACUAUGUGAUAACUUUGGUUGCAUGUUGUCUGUUCAGUGGUGAACACUACAAUGAAGGUGUUGUUACGAUUAGUUAUUUGUAUUACAGUAACGCUUAGGAAGCUCUGUCAAGGAGCUGCGCCCCAUUGUGCUAGGCGCUGCACAGAUGAAUAAAGAAGACAGCUUCUCCCCCAGAAAACUUACAGUCUAGGUGUCAGAAAGGGCGUGACAAGUGGACAAAAGAGAUAAAUGGGUUGGGAUGACCAGGUAACCACAUGAGCAGUUUUGCAGAAAAAUGAGACUCUUGUCUUGCUGCUUGACCGACAGUAAAAACAAUCACUCUGGCUAUGUGGUCUGGAAGAGCCCUACACAAAACACUGAAUCCAUCUGAUAUCUUAGCAAAAAACAGCCACUUUUCUCUGCCCAGUUUUCACUGUGUGUGUUUGGCUGAGCAUUGGCUGAAUGUUAAAAUGUGACUCCAGAGAGAAGAGUGGUCUUUAUACAUUUCAGGUUUAGGAGAAACUGCAAGCACCUUAUAGUAUUCUGAGAUGAAUCCUUCUAUCCCAUUAACUUUGCAUUUCUCCUUGCAGACUCAGGGCAGCAAGCAAUAUCCACUGCCAUCUGUCACAGCACACUAGCAAAUUAAGGUGGAGAGAGUCUAGUCAGUAGCUUACUGCAGGUUGGGGACCAGUGACAGGAGACAGAGAGAUGAGCAGAAAGCAUGUCAGGAGUGAUUGCCAGGGCAGUUGUAGAGCGCUCUGACAAAGAUUGAUGAAGACGGCUUGUCCUUAUGGGCUGGCCUUGGAUCACUUUAGCAUGACAUAUAAGAAUGUUCCUUGGUCUGUGUACAGCCAACAGAUGCCUUUGGUCCAGGCCAGGGAAAGACAAAUGGAGAGAGAUAAAAAAUAUAACAAGGGAUACACAAAGGGAAAGAAAGGGGAAAGACAGAGCUGCAUCCCCCUGCUCACUGCGUGUCAGGUGUAUAUGAAGAAAGAAGCAGAGCAUUCCCCAUAAAGCUAAUUUUUCAGCAGUGGUUUUGUCAGUGGACAUUUGAAGUUGAGAGGAAAGAUUUUUCUUUCUCUCAUUAACAGAAAAUAACCCCUCUGCCCCUUUACACCUCAGAGUGCUUUAGCAUGAACUGGGUCCUUCUGUCUAAAUUCACGAGGGCACUUUGGACAACUAUGCAGAGCAAACUAUAAUUCACCCAACUAUUCUGUGCUAGAGCAUUCUAUGAUAAUCGAUACCCAGUCUUCCCUUAUAGCCCCUGUGACGUUGCACCCCAUAAGGCUUUAUGGAAAUAUGCUUAUGAAUGUAUAUAUGACAUAACUGGAAUAUGUUUUAUGCUACAUAUUCCAUGUAACAUAUCUCUGUAAAGGUUAUGAUCUACUGAAUCUAUUCAUUCUAUUUGUAUGCAUGUAUCAUUUUUGUAUUCGAAGUUAUGAAUAUCGGCUGUGUACUUGCUUGAUUUUUAAGUAGCCUUAGUAAAGCAUUUGGUCAACUUCUUGAGAAAGGAAUGUGCAAAUUAAGUGCCCAAUCAAGAAGUACUUAAGGUACAAUGGAUCUUGGAAGGCUCCAAACCAAAUAAGAAGUCUACAUGAGGAUGUUCAAGGUAGCAUGUGAACCAUGGCUGCUACCUGUAAGUUUUGAGUCAUGCAUGGACAUGUGAUUUGCCCAUGUGACUCCAAAACUCCAUCUUGGAGCUGGAAUUCUACACAGGGGGAGGGAGGUGUAUCCACCCACAAGAGAAAGUCUAUUUAAACCCCUGGGAGAUCCCUCCAUUUUGUCUUCAGCUGGCUAAAGAGAUAGCCUCUCCACCCGCAAGGAUACCUGAAAGAAACUGGAACAAAGGACAGUAACUACAGAGGGUGUGAGUGAUUGCUGGACCCAGACUAAAAGGAGACUAGUCUGUAAAAUGAAGCUUACUGGAACUCCUCUGAGAGUGAGGUUUUAUCUGUAUUCAGUUUUCUUACUGUAUUACACAUAGACUUGCGUGUUCUAUUUUAUUUUGCUUGGUAAUUCACUUUGUUCUGUCUGUUACUACUUGGA